UACGUAGGUGGCAAGCGUUGUCCGGAUUUACUGGGCGUAAAGAGCGCGCAGGCGGUCGUUCAAGUCGCGUGUGAAAGCCCCCGGCUCAACUGGGGAGGGUCACGCGAUACUGAUCGACUCGAAGGCAGGAGAGGGUAGUGGAAUUCCCGGUGUAGUGGUGAAAUGCGUAGAUAUCGGGAGGAACACCAGUGGCGAAGGCGACUACCUGGCCUGUUCCUGACGCUGAGGCGCGAAAGCUAGGGGAGCAAACGGG
rnacentral:rRNA from 1 species